GAUUUCUGACGAACCGGAUUGGCCCGUUUCCGACUCCGGAGAUGAGUGCUGAUUUGAGUUUGUCAUCCUUCCAGAGAGUUGCGCCUACCGUUGAUUCGGCCGGGUGCCGCGAUCUGGAUCUAUUACUUUGAAAAAAUUAGAGUGUUUAAAGCAGGCUUAUGCUGUGAAUACAUUAGCAUGGAAUAAUAAUUUAGGACUUCGGUUCUAUUUUAUUGGUUUCUAGGACUGAAGUAAUGAUUGAUAGGGAUAGUUGGGGGUGCUAGUAUUCCACGGCCAGAGGUGAAAUUCUUGGAUUCGUGGAAGACUAACUACUGCGAAAGCAUU
rnacentral:rRNA from 1 species